UGCAACUUCAAAACGCAGCCUCUCUUCCCACUUGAGAUUGGAAAGAGGGCACUAUUUCAUAUUUUUUGCAAAACGUUUCAAAUAUUGGAGCCUCCGUAAAAUGCUGUUCCUGGCACCAUGCAGGGGACGGCGGGGGGUGGGGGGGGGAGUGGUAAUGGGCAAACCCUUCCUGGGGAAAAGAGUGCGUGUUUCUUUGCAGCGAUACGGGGUCUGAGCACGCCAGGGCUUCUGAGCAAGGCUGCCCUUAAGGGCUCUGACUUGCCCGCCCCAUGGGCCAAAGCUUGCUGUAAGCCCCAGCCGUUUACUAUGCACAGACAAAAAAGGAAAUUCACGAGCACAGAGAAUGUCAAGUGUAUGGUUGCUGCCAAGAACCAGAGCCAGAUCCUCCUGGCUGUCUCCGAGGCUUCUCCUUGGCCUGUCCUCGUUCACGAGGGUGGAGCACCACCAGGUCUGCACCCAUGAAUGCUGCAGGUGCCUGCUGAUCAACUGAGGAAUGGCUCUGGCUUAGGGACCUUCUGCUCUAGAAUGCAAGGCAUCUCCUGGGGCAGGGGGAGCCAGGUGGGGCUGAGGAGACCAACCUGAAGCCAACCAAGCUAGAGCGCCCCCCCCCCCCAGCUUCCUGUCCUCAGAGCACCUCGGGGCAUUUGUGAAGCUCAUUAGUGCAGCAGCGAUUAAUAUGGGGCCCAGAGCAGGACUUCCCCCUGCCAGGGAGGCCGCAAAGCUCCAGAACAUUCCAGGGAGGAAUGGAGCACCACCCAGGCCUGGCCUCCCGGGGCUGCAAAGCAAUCCCUAAUGAGUCCUCUCCCGGGGAGGGUGAAGUCACCUGCAAACAGGCAGCUCAGCCUCAGGUGUUCUCCGCGAGGCUUAAAAUAGCCGGCUCCCUUCGCAAGCACCUUCCAGCACUGUUUAGGAAGGCGAAUGCCAGGAAACUAAUGAAUCUGAGCUUAGUGAAUUAAUUGUUGAUGAAAUAAUAUGAAUAGUGCGCUUCCUGUUCAUCAGUCUCUACAGAAAUUAAUUAGCCCCACUUGGCAGCAAGCAGGAUCAAAUUUUCAACUUAAUUUAUGAUUUUGGCCAAAUUGUCUAUGGGAAGCCUUGCCUGGAGGACCUUCCGUGGCUGCUUCGUGUCCGGACAGGCCUUGCCUUUCAUAGAAGACAUGACUGCUGUAAAAGCCCCAACAAGAGAAGAGGGGAGGGGACGAGGAGGUGCGGGGGGGGGAGGUAGGGGUAAGAAGGGGGGGAGCGGGGAGGUUCACACUUAGCCUGUGAGGCUCCAAGAAGAUUCCAGGUUCCCACAUCUCCUCGCUGCCUCUGCCCUCCCCUACUUAGAGAAGAGGGAUGGCCCAGCAGUGGGGCUGACUUGGGAGCUCAUUGUUCUGAGCUGUGUGCACUCCCCCCAACUGCAGGAUGAUAUGAAAGAAAAUACUAUGAGAAGUGGUUUGGGGGGUGCACUGUUGUAAAGUAGGGCGCAGGGCACUUCUUGGGCCUGGGGGACCCAUCCAAGGACCUGGCUGUCAUGAGAUGUGCAUUUAGCACCUCGGUCCCGUGUGCCCCAGAACAGAGCCCAGAGGAACUCAGCUUUCGUCACCCAGGGGUUGGGGGUGAAGAGGGGCAGGCUCUGACUGCACCAGUUGCUGACAAGAACCCCAAGCAGGCUGCCCCCACCCCAGGGCAGCCGAGAAUCGGAUGUGAACCUGGAAACAGACUUCCAAAUGAUGCCAGCCUCUGAAACAUUUCCGGGACGCGAAUGCGCGCGCGUGUGUCCAUAUGCUCUUGUUCUGAAAACACCAGCUUUCUCAGGGAAAAGCCUGUGAACUGCUGAGUUAAAACGUGCGUGAGAUUAAGAGGAUGUGUUCCAGUCAAAGCCAGAAACUUUGGGGCGCCUGGGUGGCUCAGUGGUUAAGCAUCUGCCUUCGGCUCAGGUCAUGAUCCCAGGGUUCUGAGAUCAAGCCCUGCAUCGGGCUCCCUGCUCAGCGGGAAGCCUGCUUCUCCCUCUCCUGCUCCCCCUGCUUGUGUACCCUCUCUCACUGUCUGUCA
rnacentral:lncRNA from 1 species